CAGUCGCCGCGGUAAUACGAAGGGUGCAAGCGUUACUCGGAAUUACUGGGCGUAAAGCGUGCGUAGGUGGUGGUUUAAGUCCGUUGUGAAAGCCCUGGGCUCAACCUGGGAAUUGCAGUGGAUACUGGAUCACUAAAGUGUGGUAGAGGAUAGUGGAAUUUCCGGUGUAGCAGUGAAAUGCGUAGAGAUCGGAAGGAACAUCUGUGGCGAAGGCGACUAUCUGGGCCAACACUGACACUGAGGCACGAAAGCGUGGGGAGCAAACAGGAUUAGAUACCACGGUAGUCCCUGUCUCUUAUAC
rnacentral:rRNA from 1 species